AGAUUUCAUUUUUGCAAGAGACUAUUAUUUUAGGAGAAUCGUAUCAAAAUCUUCCCCUGUUGUGUCUCUUUUCUCCACCAGACUUUAAAUCAAAGCAACAUGUUCUUCAAGGAUUCUGCAAGAUACAGCUCCACAAAUUCCAUCUCGGUGGCUUUCUUCUCCCUGCUCCAGGCUUGAGGCAGGGUGGCUCCUCAUCGCCCCCUUCCCACAGCACGCACACCCUCCGGAGAUGGGAUGGACCACCCUGUCCGUCCCCGCAGGCCAGUCCCCUGCUGUCUGGCGCUCAAAUAGGACCCUGCGUAAGUACACAAGCGUGUGUCCCUGGCUGUGGUCCGGGGAUGCGUGGGGUGUCCCUGAGACUCUCCCAGGAGUCAUGCGAGUUCAUAACCAUUUUUCAUAAUAAUCCUAAUGCGGUAUUAGCUGUUUUCACUCUCUUGCAUGUAACGUGGAGUUUUCCAGUGGCCCUGUGACGUGCUAGGGGGAAACAGAUUGAAGGCAGACGCAGACCUGGGAUCCAGCUGGCUCCUGUUCAGCCAGACACUGACG
ensembl:lncRNA